rnacentral:lncRNA from 1 species
GGGAUACUUAAGCGGAUACAAUACAUAUUAAAAUUUGUUAACUUUAUUGUCAAUUUGAGAUUUUUAUACUUUGGAAAUAUGUUAAAUUUGGUGUCAAGCUGCCAAUUUCAUUGACACCAAAUUUAAUAUAUUUAAGAUACUUGAAAACGAAGCUCAAUUGAGGCUCAAUCUUGCUGAAAAUCUUAUCUGCAAAGACAAACAGGGAAAAUAAGAACACUCAAAAACAGCCAUUAAAGAACAAAUAAACUUGUGUUUCUAGAAAAGAAAACAAGAAAAAGCAUGAAACUCAUAAACAAAAGGUACGUAUAUAUUGCCCAAUAACUAGAUAUGAGCCUGCAAGGUGGAAGAAUCUUCAAAGAAUACACUAAAAAUUUGACAGCAAUAUUUCCUUGAAACUAAAAACAAGUGUGGCUAACUGACGCAAUAGAUUAAGAUAAUAUUUAACAGAAGAAUUAUAACAACAUAUUUUUUAGAUGUCUCGCUGAAAAAUCCUACAAAAUAACAAGGCAUUAAGAAAAAUCUUUUAUAGUUUUAAAGACAACGAUAAGCAAUGAAUAUAAAUUUCCUUGAUGGUUGAAAAGGGUAGUUAUAGCGAGAUGUUAAAUUAUCUCCAACCGCAAACAUAUAAUGUCCAUCUGUCAUCUUCUCGCCAUGGGGGAGAACCAUUUCGAGCCACUGGUUCUUGCAAAUUGUCAUGAUUAAAAUGUUACAUCUUGAGGUCAAUGGACACAAUAUGAAGAUUAGACAGGCAGACCUGAUUGCUUAUAGUUAUAAAAGAUAUAAAUAUUACCUUAGAUAAAAACAGCUAAACAUGCGAUAGUUUUCAUGUCAAAACUGUAUAUUUAGAAGCUAGUGUCUUUACAUCUAGUAUAGCUUAAGCUAACUAUUCCAGAGUGUUUAAGCAGAGAUUGAAAGUUUAGAUCAACCCUUCAGAAACUCACCUCUGCCCUUUUGUCCUGCAAAUAAAGUUAUGUACAUAAGUUGAGCACCCAGAACUCUAGUAUGUUGUUAAAGCAAUGAGCUUUUGAUCCACUGAUGACUUGGUCCUCUAUAUAUCCAGAAUGAAUUUCCCUGUGAUUAUUGACGUUACCAAAAUUAUGCAUCCGAUGAAUGGUUUUAAAUUAGUUGAUAUGGAUGUUGUGUCGUUCAUAGUUGGAGGG